rnacentral:rRNA from 1 species
AUUGAACGCUGGCGGCAGGCCUAACACAUGCAAGUCGAACGAGUGGCGGACGGGUGAGUAAUGUCUGGGAAACUGCCUGAUGGAGGGGGAUAACUACUGGAAACGGUAGCUAAUACCGCAUACCAUCAGAUGUGCCCAGAUGGGAUUAGCUUGUUGUUGGGGUAACGGCUCUACAAGGCGACGAUCCCUAGCUGGUCUGAGAGGAUGACCGGCAACACUGGAACUGAGACCCGGUCCAGACUCCUACGGGAGGCAGCAGUGGGGAAUAUUGCAAAAUGGGCGAAAGCCUGAUGCAGCCAUGCCGGGUGUGUGAAGAAGGCCUUCGGGUUGUAAAGCACUUUCAGCGAGGAGGCGUUACUCGCAGAAGAAGCACCGGCUAACUCCGUGCCAGCCGCCGCGGUAAUUC